rnacentral:lncRNA from 1 species
GCUCACACAGCAAUGAGUGGCUGGAUGGCCGUUGGGAACUGAAGAAUGCUUCUGGCUCCUAGCCCAGGCAGGGCCCUUUCUAAUACUUUGCAAUGAUGCUGAUAAACAGAUAUAUCUCUAACAAAUAUGGACAAUAACUCCUUCCAAAAGGCAAAAUAAAACUCGUAUCAUUUGUACAAGACCAUGCAAUUUAAAAGCAAUAUUGUAAGCAAUCUACAAUAGAAAGCAAGCCUGAGAAGGCAAUGUGUUCACUGAAAACAUUUCUCUUGCCUCCUCGAGGCAUCACCAGACUACAUUUCCCAGAAUCCCUUGCAGUUGGUUGUGAUCAUGUGACUGAAUUCUGGCCAAUGGGAAGCAGGUGGAAGUGACCUCACUGCUUCCAGGCUUGACCUAUAAUAACUCCUUGGAAACUUGUACUUUUUCUUCCCCUGUCAGAUGUCUGGACUUAAAGGAUCCAGCAGAGGAUUUGGAGGCUCCAGGGUAUGGCUGAGCCCAAGAUGUCAAAGUCUGGGUCAGUGAAUCACAGUAUGGGAGGCCAGUUGCUGAAUGUCUAUACUAAUUGUUACUUCAGCAAGCAAUCAACGACAGUUCUAGGAGUUAACAGCAGCUUCCUGAGCCAGAACAGACCGAGAGAGACUCCUGGGGAGCUUUGAAAAAAAGAAAUUUAUUUCUCAUGGUUCUGGAAGCUGGGAAGUCCAAGAUCAAGGAAGCAGCAAAUUCAAUGUCUGGCCAGAGUCCCGCCUCCUCAUAGAUUCAUGGAUAUUCUUCUUGCUGUUUUCUCACAUGGUGGAAGAAGCAAGGCAGCUUCUGGGGUCACUUUUAUAAGGGCACUCAUGCAAUUAUGCAGGCUCUGUCUUCAUGUCCAAAUCAUCUCCCAAAAGACCCCAUCUCCUAACAAAUGAAUGCUGGGGUGACACAGACAUUCUGACCACAGCAGGAUUUGAAUCUAGCCUGCUGUAACCCAAAGCCUGUGUUACUAAGAACUUUGCUAUAUGGCAUGGGUCUUUCUGAGCCCUACCUGCCCUACAUCCUCUUCUAUAUCAAAAAUUUCACUUUUUUUUUUCAAAUAUUUUAUUUUUUGUAGAGAUGAGGAGGUCUUGAACUCCUGCCCUCAAAUGAUUCUCCUGCCUCGGCCUCCCAACGUGCUGGGAUUACAGACGUGAGCCACCUUGCCCAGCCAAAAAUUUUCAUUGUUUCUAACCUGGAUUCCUCUUCAAACCCUUCUAGGCAAUGUUUAUCCCACUGCAAGGAUGAGUUGCAUUUGCAACAUUUCUGAAUGUAAUUAUAAGUUAUUUCCAUAAUGGCUGAAUAGUCUGAAAAAAAGUUUUUUUUGCUGUGUGCUAUGUAGGCACAUUGAAUAAUAUUUAAACAAUAAAGGUUACCUCUUAUGUA